rnacentral:lncRNA from 1 species
UCUCUCUCUCUCUUUCUUUCUUUCAACUUUCUUUCUUUCUUUCCCUCUGUCACAGUACAAGGGAUUGAAUCCAAGGCUAUUCCACAGUGCUUUAUCCUCAGCCUGUUUUAUAGUUUUUGCUUGUAAGUUGCCCAGACUGGACACCAACUUGAGAUCAUCCUACCUCAUUCUACAGAAUUCUGGCAGUUACAGACAUGUACAUCAAGACUGGCUAGCAAGGAAAUUCUACACCCAACCAUAGCCACUGGAAUAGCCAAAUGAGAUGAGAUGCGGCAGUGCCCUUGUUACAUCCAGAGAUGGAUUUCUCGUAUUAGAUCACAAAGCAAGUUUGCACUUCUAAUGAUGCAUGGUCUGACCACCCUCUCUUGUAAAGAUGUCACCAAACGAAUCCUCCCUCAUUUGGUAAGGUCUUUGCAUCGAAACA